AGGGCCAUAUCAUGUUGAAACAUUGGUUCUCAUCUGAUCACCAAAGUUAAACAAUAUUGAGCCUAGUCAAUACCUAGAUGGAUGACUACUUGGAAAUAACAGGUGCUGGAAG